GAUUUAUCGGACAAGGACUGUGAAGGGAAAAUUAAAAGGAAGUGAUACAGUAGGUAGGAUACCUACCAGUCAUGACGACAUAGAUGGACCACUUCAGGAUGAAGUUAGGGACACCUCCAGGAAGGAGAAGAGAGUCGAGACAGGAAGUAUCGACGGGUCAAGGCGAGACCGAUAGGACAUGUCCAGGAAGGAUACAAAGGGAAAGCGCUGAAGGAAACAGCUUAAUCAUGGAAUGAUGCAGGGAGCACCAUAGUAGCUGGAUCGCUGCAAGUAAGACCAAGGGCGCGACGAAAGUCGCGCCCGCUCUUUUUGUA
rnacentral:other from 1 species